UCAGGACGAACGCUGGCGGCGUGCCUAAUACAUGCAAGUCGAACGGUCUUUCUAUGGAAGCUUGCUUCCACUGAGAAGAUAGUGGCGAACGGGUGAGUAACACGUGGGUAACCUGCCCAUAAGAGGGGGGAUAACAUCCGGAAACGGGUGCUAAUACCGCAUAGUUUUCUUGAUCGCAUGAUCGGGAAAGGAAAGACGGCCUUUGUGCUGUCGCUUAUGGAUGGACCCGCGGCGUAUUAGUUAGUUGGUGAGGUAACGGCUCACCAAGACGAUGAUACGUAGCCGACCUGAGAGGGUGAUCGGCCACAUUGGGACUGAGACACGGCCCAAACUCCUACGGGAGGCAGCAGUAGGGAAUCUUCCGCAAUGGACGAAAGUCUGACGGAGCAACGCCGCGUGAAUGAAGAAAAGGUUUUCGGAUCGUAAAACUCUGUUGUCAGAGAAGAACAAGUUGGAGAGUAACUGCUCCAGCCUUGACGGUAUCUGACCAGAAAGCCACGGCUAACUACGUGCCAGCAGCGGC
rnacentral:rRNA from 1 species